rnacentral:SRP_RNA from 1 species
GCCAGGUGUGGUGUCAUGCACCUGUAGUCCCAGCUACUCAGGAGGCUGAGGUAGGAGGAUCCCUUGAGCUUGGGAGAUCGAGGCUGCAGUGAGCUGAGAUCACGUCACUGCACUCUAGCCCGGGCAACAGAGUGAGAUCCUGUCUCAA